GGGUGAUGAGUGGCGUAGGCGGGGGUAAUGCGUGGGUGGGUACGGUUGGCGGGAGUUGUGGGUCGGAAGGAGGGCGCAGGCGGUGCAGUAAGUCGGGUGGGAAAGGCAAGGGGGGAAGCGGAGAGGGUGUUUGGAAGGUGGGGGACGUGUGUGCAGAAGAGGAAAGCGGAAGUUGACGUGAAGUGGGUAAAUGCUUGGAGAGGUGGAGGAACGCCAGUGGCGAAGGCGGCUUGCUGGUCUGUAACGGACGCUGAGGCGCGAAAGCGUGGGGAGCAAACAGGAUUAGAUACCCGGGUAGUC
rnacentral:rRNA from 1 species